UUUGAAAUGUGUUAAACCAAUUCUGCAACACAUGUAAUAUUGGUGUAGUAUAUAUCUUUGUUUAUACACCCACAUAUCAAUUUUGGCCCUGUUUGUCCGUACACUGGGUGUGAAAUGUGAAUCAUUCCGAUUGUGAGAGGACAAGCAUUAUCAAUAUACAGCUUUUCAGGACUUUGCCUUCCUUGGUUAGUUCUCCCUUUUUCAAAUGCAAUAGAUGCUGUGUUUAUUCUUAAUUGAUCUUUUUCAAAUUUGUGUUACACACUGGAAUCAUGAGAGGACGAAACCUAUCAAUAUUCAGCAUUCCACAACAUUCCAUUCCAGUGUCGGCCGAGAAAGUUCUUCGUGAUUUCCAGACUUGGUUUCCUCCCCUUGUCAGAGGUGCAGGACAGAGGGCCUGACAAGGGGGGACAGCUGUCUAGUCGUUUGGAUGGUACGAAUGACCGAGGUCCUGUGCACACAUUGGUGUGCACGUGAAAGAUCCCUUGGCAGUUUGAAUUCGAUAUAAGAGUAGGCUUUAGCGCCGCUGUCUGGAUAAAAUUCCAUAAUAGGACACUGUAUAGCAUAUUUCCAUGUCAUUAGCCCUGUCGGAAUAGGACAUUAAACCCCAUUUCAUUUCACUCAUUCCAAAGUUAACUCCUAUUCCAUCAAUACCUUGAGCAAAUAAGAUAGAGGCUAUAGGUUUUGGCCCAAUUUGGUCAAUAUCCCAGUUUUUUCUUUCUUAUAUGCAUAUCAACACUUUCAUAGCGCUAAUGUAGACCUUUUUCUUGAACAUUUUCCCUUGUCAGUGAUGCCGGACAGAGGACCUGACAUGGAUGGCUGACUAGUCAUACGGAAGGGACCAAAAAAACAAGGUACAGUGUAAACUCAAGUGUGUGUGUGUGGAAGAUCCCUUGGCAGUUGGAAUUUUAUAUAAGAGUACGCCAUAGCUCUGCACACUGUGUGGCAUAUGCCCGUCUUCAUUUCUCAAACAGCUGUGGAUAAAAACUGUUAAUAUUUAAAUGUGUAUUUUGUAUUUUAUAACAUUAUAUUUUUGUCUUUUAAAUAAAGUAUAUGUAUACAUACUUGUAGUAUAUUUUGUCAUAUUAUUCUGCUAGAUUUUUAACUUUUCUGUGCAAUACAUUUAGAAUUCUGACUGGUUAUGGGUAGAUAGAGAGCAAUGGGGUAAAACAUCCAAUAGACAUAAACUGUCCUUUGGGACUAAGUGAUUCAAUUCAAGUUGAAUAAUUCAUCCGCACCAGGAAUCUUUAGUAGUAGGAGGACCCAGAGAAAAACCAUGUUCAAGUUGGGUGUGGAAACAAACCACUUGACUCAAUGACAGACCUUAUGAUCUAAAUGUAACGUAAAAUUAACAUCAUAUUGUUAUGUGGGUAUACUUUAGUCAUUGCGACAAAUUCUUCCUUUGAUAUUAUAUCAGCGACAUUCGGUUAGAUAGAUGUAGUGAAGUUAGCAUCAACAGGGUGCUUUAGCCGUGAUAUUUUAAAAAAAAUUAUAAUGGUCACAUAGAAUACCAGACCGCAGGUUUGUAAAUUUUUACAAAAAAUAAAACCGUGUAUUUAAUUUAGCAUGUAUAUAUUGCUUCUAUGUAUAUAAUAAUUCGUUCGGUUAAAACAGUCAGAUUUAGAACUACUGCCACUGACUGCACCGGAAGUCUAUUUAUAUAAUGGCGCCACAAAGAAAUUUUUUUUUUGAUGUGUUCUAAAAGUGUUCCGCUAAUUCAGCAAUCUAAUGAAUCUGUCUUAAUUUUUCUGAAAUCGUGCUUAAUUAUUAUUAGCUAAUCGGCGCUACACCGUUGUUCAAAUAUUUAUAAUUGCAAGAAACCCCCGACUAGGACCAGCAGGUAAGAAUCUGUCUUGAUUUUAUAGUAAUACCCGGUUGCAAUUAUUGGCCGCCAUCUUUGAUUUUUAUAGACGUUCGGGCAAAAGGAGAAAUGUAUAUCCAGACAUGGACUAUAGCUAGAUACUAACUUUUGUGUUAGUUGUUUAGUUGAAAUGUAAUCUUAUUUCUGUAAAAGAAAAAAACAACAACAAACAAAUCAGCCUUUUUUUUAUAUCAAUGUCAUCAAUGUGUAGGCCUAAUAUUAGACUUUCAAUGAUUCACUAGUUUCUCUUCAGUUUCGUUAUUUUUUUUUCCAGUCAUUGAUGUUAGCAUGUACUACACAAAGAAAAACAGGCAAAGCAUGAAGCCAAAGGAAAUGUUUUUACCAAGGCAUGUUCCUCAAUAGCGGAGAGAGUUUUAUCCAGUGUCGGUUCUGCAUAAGAACCCAUUCAUAGCAGACCACCCAUUGCAGCACUUGUAAGGUCGCUAUAAAGAACCCGACAGACUCUGCGACCAAAAGAUCCCACUGACGUGUCGUCAAGCCUUGACGAAGAUUUCAUCGAUCAUAGUGCACCGGGAUUUUAUCAAAAAAGAGUAAAAGUUGGGGAAAGGUGCCAUCACAUUUUUUGUACUGAUAGACAGAUGCAACUACUCGCACGCGCAAAAACUUGGUAUAUGGAUGCAACUUUUCGGGUGGUGAACAAGCCAUGGUCUCAGCUGUUUUCCAUACACGCCUUCAUUAUGACUGGAGAGACCACCCGACAGUUACCAUUGGUGUUUUGUGUAAUGUCGGGUAAAAGCCAAGACGACUAUUAUAAGUUUCCAUAUUAGAUGCCAUAGCAAAUCAAAGAUCAUAUAAUAAAAUAAGUCAAAAAACCCAAAUAUGGAAAAAGAAAGAGCUGAAGAAAUGGUGAUUUGAGCACCUAUGCUUUCUCAUAGGUGUUUUUGGAGGUUUCCAUAUUAGAUGCCAUAGCAAAUCAAAGAUCAUAUAAUAAAAUAAGUCAAAAAACCCAAAUAUGGAAAAAGAAAGAGCUGAAGAAAUGGUGAUUUGAGCACCUAUGCUUUCUCAUAGGUGUUUUUGGAGGUUAACUACAUCAGAAAGAUCAAGACAGUUGGAAAUGGCUAUUCAUAUUAUGGAAACUUUUUCUCACAGAGCUUGAUAAUCAG